rnacentral:rRNA from 1 species
ACCGGAGCUUGCUCCACCGGAAAAAGAAGAGUGGCGAACGGGUGAGUAACACGUGGGUAACCUGCCCAUCAGAAGGGGAUAACACUUGGAAACAGGUGCUAAUACCGUAUAACAAUCAAAACCGCAUGGUUUUGAUUUGAAAGGCGCUUUCGGGUGUCGCUGAUGGAUGGACCCGCGGUGCAUUAGCUAGUUGGUGAGGUAACGGCUCACCAAGGCCACGAUGCAUAGCCGACCUGAGAGGGUGAUCGGCCACAUUGGGACUGAGACACGGCCCAAACUCCUACGGGAGGCAGCAGUAGGGAAUCUUCGGCAAUGGACGAAAGUCUGACCGAGCAACGCCGCGUGAGUGAAGAAGGUUUUCGGAUCGUAAAACUCUGUUGUUAGAGAAGAACAAGGAUGAGAGUAACUGUUCAUCCCUUGACGGUAUCUAACCAGAAAGCCACGGCUAACUACGUGCCAGCAGCCGCGGUAAUACGUAGGUGGCAAGCGUUGUCCGGAUUUAUUGGGCGUAAAGCGAGCGCAGGCGGUUUCUUAAGUCUGAUGUGAAAGCCCCCGGCUCAACCGGGGAGGGUCAUUGGAAACUGGGAGACUUGAGUGCAGAAGAGGAGAGUGGAAUUCCAUGUGUAGCGGUGAAAUGCGUAGAUAUAUGGAGGAACACCAGUGGCGAAG